UACGUAGGUGGCAAGCGUUGUCCGGAUUCACUGGGUUUAAAGGGUGUGCAGGCGGGUUAAUAAGUCAGUGGUGAAAGCCCCCGACUCAAUCGGGGAACUGCCAUCGAUACUGUUAUUCUUGAGUGUGGUUGAGGCGGAUGGAAUAUGACAUGUAGCGGUGAAAUGCUUAGAUAUGUCAUAGAACACCGAUCGCGAAGGCAGUCCGCCAAACCAUUACUGACACUGAAACACGAAAGUGCGGGGAUCAAACAGG
rnacentral:rRNA from 1 species